ACGGCUUCUGUGGUGACAGAAUGGAGAGAAGGGAGAGAAGAAAGAAGAAGAAGAAGAAGAAGAAAAGAGAGGUUAAAAAAGAAAAAAAAAAUGAAAAUGAAGAAUACUCAAAUCGCCAGACUUGACCAUGCCCUCUACUUUUCUCUUUCAAGUUUGUAGUACAUGUAGGACCGACCGUCCCUAUAGCAAGUGGCAAAGGGCUUGGUGGUUGGUAUCCGAGAUCCCAAGUUCGAAUCCUAAUUGAUUCACAUUUUCAGCUAAGUUUAUUUCCAUAUGAAAUAAACAGCGUGCUACCUAUCUCUCUCAAAAAAAAAAAAAAA
rnacentral:lncRNA from 1 species